AGUAUACUGUAGAUAGUGGUGUUGUAGUGUUGUAUACUGUAGAUAGUGGUGUUGUAGUGUGGUAUACUGUAGAUAGUGGUGUUGUAGUGUUGUAUACUGUAGAUAGUGGUGUUGUAGUGUGGUAUACUGUAGAUAGUGGUGUUGUAGUGUUGUAUACUGUAGAUAGUGGUGUUGUAUACUGUAGAUAGUGGUGUUGUAGUGUUGUAUACUGUAGAUAGUGGUGUUGUAUACUGUAGAUAGUGGUGUUGUAGUGUUGUAUACUGUAGAUAGUGGUGUUGUAUACUGUAGAUAGUGGUGUUGUAGUGUUGUAUACUGUAGAUAGUGG
ensembl:lncRNA